GGCUCUGUGGCGCAAUGGAUAGUGCAUUGGACUUCUAAUUCAAAGGUUGUGGGUUCGAGUCCCACCAGAGUCA
rnacentral:tRNA from 1 species